GAUGAACGCUGGCGGCGUGCCUAAUACAUGCAAGUCGAGCGAACAGACGAGGAGCUUGCUCCUCUGACGUAACGGCCGACGGGUUAGUAACCCCUGGAUAACCUUCCUAUAAGACUGGGAUAACCUCGGGAAACCGGAGCUAAUACCGGGUAAUAUAUUUAACCGCAUGGGUCAAUAGUUAAAGACCGUUUUUCUGUCCCUUAUUGAUGGAUCCGCGCCGCAUUAGCUAGUUGGUAAGGUAACGGCUUACCAAGGCAACGAUGCGUAGCCGACCUGAGAGGGUGAUCGGCCACACUGGAACUGAGACACGGUCCAGACUCCUACGGGAGGCAGCAGUAGGGAAUCUUCCGCAAUGGGCGAAAGCCUGACGGAGCAACGCCGCGUGAGUGAUGAAGGUCUUCGGAUCGUAAAACUCUGUUAUUAGGGAAGAACAAAUGUGUAAGUAACUAUGCACGUCUUGACGGUACCUAAUCAGAGAGCCACGGCUAACUACGUG
rnacentral:rRNA from 1 species